UUAUACAUGCAAGUCGAACGGUAACAGUACCUUCGGGUAGCUGACGAGUGGCGCACGGGUGCGUAACGCGUAUACAAUCUGCCCACAACAGGGGAAUAGCUCAGAGAAAUCUGAAUUAAUACCCCAUAAUACAGGGAUACCGCAUGGUAAUAUUUGUUAAAGGCUUCGGUCGGUUGUGGAUGAGUAUGCGUCCCAUUAGUUAGUAGGCGAGGUGACGGCUCACCUAGACAAUGAUGGGUAGGGGUUCUGAGAGGAAGGUCCCCCACACUGGUACUGAGAUACGGACCAGACUCCUACGGGAGGCAGCAGUAGGGAAUAUUGGGCAAUGGACGCAAGUCUGACCCAGCCAUGCCGCGUGCAGGAAGAAUGCCUUAGGGUUGUAAACUGCUUUUAUAUGCGAAGAACAAGGGGCUUGCGAGCCCCCCUGACGGUAGCAUAUGAAUAAGCACCGGCUAACUCCGUGCCAGCAGCCGCGGUAAUACGGAGGGUGCAAGCGUUGUCCGGAUUCAUUGGGUUUANAGGGUACGUA
rnacentral:rRNA from 1 species